UUUGAAAUCUGGCUCUCGGGCCCGAGUUGUAAUUUGUAGAGGAUACUUUUGAUGCGGUGCCUUCCGAGUUCCCUGGAACGGGACGCCAUAGAGGGUGAGAGCCCCGUCUGGUUGGAUGCCAAAUCUCUGUAAAGUUCCUUCGACGAGUCGAGUAGUUUGGGAAUGCUGCUCUAAAUGGGAGGUAUAUGUCUUCUAAAGCUAAAUACCGGCCAGAGACCGAUAGCGCACAAGUAGAGUGAUCGAAAGAUGAAAAGCACUUUGAAAAGAGAGUUAAAAAGUACGUGAAAUUGUUGAAAGGGAAGCGUUUAUGACCAGACUUGGGCUUGGUUAAUCAUCUGGGGUUCUCCCCAGUGCACUUUUCCAGUCCAGGCCAGCAUCAGUUUUCGCCGGGGGAUAAAGACUUCGGGAAUGUGGCUCUCUUCGGGGAGUGUUAUAGCCCGUUGUGUAAUACCCUGGCGGG
rnacentral:rRNA from 1 species